UACGUAGGGAGCAAGCGUUGUCCGGAAUCAUUGGGCGUAAAGCGCGCGUAGGUGGCCUCGUAAGUCCGCUGUGAAAGUCCAAGGCUCAACCUUGGAAAGCCGGUGGAUACUGUGAGGCUAGAGUACGGAAGAGGCGAGUGGAAUUCCUGGUGUAGCGGUGGAAUGCGCAGAUAUCAGGAGGAACACCAAUAGCGAAGGCAGCUCGCUGGGACGUUACUGACACUGAGGCGCGAAAGCGCGGGGAGCGAACAGG
rnacentral:rRNA from 1 species